CUACGGGUUGCUGCAGUAGGAAAUUUUCGGCAAUGGGGGAAACCCUGACCGAGCAACGCCGCGUGAAUGACGAAGUACUUCGGUAUGUAAAGUUCUUUUAUCAGGGAAGAAUGACUUAUGGAAAAAUAAGUGUGACGGUACCUGAUGAAUAAGCCCCGGCUAACUAUGUAGCCAGCAGCCGCGGUAAUACAUAGGGGGCAAGCGUUAUCCGGAAUUAUUGGGGGUAAAGGGUGCGUAGGUGGUUAGAUAAGUCUUAGGUGUAAGUGCAGAGCUUAACUCUGUGAUGCUAGAGAAACUGUCUGACUUGAGUGUGGUAGAGGCAAGUGGAAUUCCAUGUGUAGCGGUAAAAUGCGUAAAUAUAUGGAGGAACACCAGUGGCGAAGGCGGCUUGCUGGGCCAUAACUGACACUGAGGCACGAAAGCGUGGGGAGCAAACAGGAUUAGAUACCCUUGUAGUC
rnacentral:rRNA from 1 species